UGGGGAAUUUUGGACAAUGGGCGAAAGCCUGAUCCAGCAAUGCCGCGUGUGUGAAGAAGGCCUUCGGGUUGUAAAGCACUUUUGUCCGGAAAGAAAUCCUUGGCUCUAAUACAGUCGGGGGAUGACGGUACCGGAAGAAUAAGCACCGGCUAACUACGUGCCAGCAGCCGCGGUAAUACGUAGGGUGCAAGCGUUAAUCGGAAUUACUGGGCGUAAAGCGUGCGCAGGCGGUUUGCUAAGACCGAUGUGAAAUCCCCGGGCUCAACCUGGGAACUGCAUUGGUGACUGGCAGGCUAGAGUAUGGCAGAGGGGGGUAGAAUUCCACGUGUAGCAGUGAAAUGCGUAGAGAUGUGGAGGAAUACCGAUGGCGAAGGCAGCCCCCUGGGCAAUACGACGCUCAUGCACGAAAAGCGUGGGGAGCAAAACAGGAUUAGAUACCCUGGUAGUCCACGCCCUAAAACGAUGUCAACUAGUUGUUGGGGAUUCAUUUCCUUAGUAACGUAGCUAACGCGUGAAGUUGACCGCCUGGGGAGUACGGUCGCAAGAUUAAAACUCAAAGGAAUUGACGGGGUCAUAGCUGUUUCCU
rnacentral:rRNA from 1 species